GAUGAACGCUGGCGGCGUGCCUAAUACAUGCAAGUCGAGCGAACGGACGAGAAGCUUGCUUCUCUGAUGUUAGCGGCGGACGGGUGAGUAACACGUGGAUAACCUACCUAUAAGACUGGGAUAACUUCGGGAAACCGGAGCUAAUACCGGAUAAUAUUUUGAACCGCAUGGUUCAAAAGUGAAAGACGGUCUUGCUGUCACUUAUAGAUGGAUCCGCGCUGCAUUAGCUAGUUGGUAAGGUAACGGCUUACCAAGGCAACGAUGCAUAGCCGACCUGAGAGGGUGAUCGGCAACACUGGAACGGAGACACGGUCCAGACUCCUACGGGAGGCAGCAGUAGGGAAUCUUCCGCAAUGGGCGAAAGCCUGACGGAGAAACGCCGCGUGAGUGAUGAAGGUCUUCGGAUCGUAAAACUCUGUUAUUAGGGAAGAACAUAGGUGUAAGUAACUGUGAACAUCUUGACGGUACCUAAUAAGAAAGCAACGGCUAACUACGU
rnacentral:rRNA from 1 species